rnacentral:rRNA from 1 species
UAACACAUGCAAGUCGAACGCAAGGACGGAAAGAGCUUGCUCUUUUCAGAAUUGAGUGGCAAACGGGUGAGUAACACGUAAACAACCUGCCUUCAGGAUGGGGACAACAGACGGAAACGACUGCUAAUACCGAAUAAGUUCCAAGAGCCGCAUGGCCCAUGGAAGAAAAGGUGGCCUCUACCUGUAAGCUAUCGCCUGAAGAGGGGUUUGCGUCUGAUUAGCUGGUAGGAGGGGUAACGGCCCACCAAGGCGACGAUCAGUAGCCGGUCUGAGAGGAUGAACGGCCACACUGGAACUGAGACACGGUCCAGACUCCUACGGGAGGCAGCAGUGGGGAAUCUUCCGCAAUGGGCGAAAGCCUGACGGAGCAACGCCGCGUGAGUGAUGACGGCCUUCGGGUUGUAAAACUCUGUGAUCCGGGACGAAAAGGCAGAGUGCGAAGAACAAACUGCGUUGACGGUACCGGAAAAGCAAGCCACGGCUAACUACGUGCCAGCAGCCGCGGUAAUACGUAGGUGGCAAGCGUUGUCCGGAAUUAUUGGGCGUAAAGCGCGCGCAGGCGGCUUCCCAAGUCCCUCUUAAAAGUGCGGGGCUUAACCCCGUGAUGGGAAGGAAACUGGGAAGCUGGAGUAUCGGAGAGGAAAGUGGAAUUCCUAGUGUAGCGGUGAAAUGCGUAGAGAUUAGGAAGAACACCGGUGGCGAAAGCGACUUUCUGGACGAAAACUGACGCUGAGGCGCGAAAGCGUGGGGAGCAAACAGGAUUAGAUACCCUGGUAGUCCACGCCGU